ensembl:misc_RNA Metazoa_SRP Metazoan signal recognition particle RNA
GCCGGGCAUGGUGGAGCAUGCCUGUAAUCCCAGCUACUUGGGAGGCUGAAGCAGGAGAAUCGUUUAAGCCCAGGAGGUGGAGGCUGCAGUGAGCUGAGAUUGAGUCACUGCACUCCAGCCUGGGCAACAGAGCAAGACUCUGUCUCAA